rnacentral:lncRNA from 1 species
ACCCCCCAGCGGAAAAAUGGCCAAAAAACGGGUGGGCUAUAGCCUUGGUGGGGGGCGCGGGCGAAGUUCGUCCGCCGGACUCGGAAUGGGGCGAGACUUAGCGCGCGGCCUCGGGGCGCCAAAAAUAAGCCGCGGGCAAAGCCGCGCCCAAAAAUAAGCGCCCGAAGGUCGUGGUGCCAAAACCCCCCAGCGGAAAAAUGGCCAAAAAACGGGUGGGCUAUAGCCUUGGUGGGGGGCGCGGGCGAAGUUCGUCCGCCGGACUCGGAAUGGAGCGAGACUUUGCAAGGGGCCUCGGGGUGCCCGCGGGAAGUCGCGGGCACAGCCGCGUCCAAAAAUAAGCGCCCGAAGGUCGUGGUGCCAAAACCCCCCAGCGGAAAAAUGGCCAAAAAAUGGGUGGGCUAUAGCCUUGGUGGGGGGCGCGGGCGAAGUUCGUCCGCCGGACUUGGAAUGGGGCGAGACUUUGCGAGGGGCCUCGGGGUGCCCGCGGGAAGUCGCGGGCACAGCCGCGUCCAGAAAUAAGCGCCCGAAGGUCGUGGUGCCAAAACCCCCCAGCGGAAAAAUGGCCAAAAAACGGGUGGGCUAUAGCCUUGGUGGGGGGCGCGGGCGAAGUUCGUCCGCCGGACUUGGAAUGGGGCGAGACUUUGCGAGGGGCCUCGGGGUGCCCGAGGUAAGUCGCGGGCACAGCCGCGUCCAAAAAUAAGCGCCCGAAGGACGUGGUGCCAAAACCCCCCAGCGGAAAAAUGGCCAAAAAAUGGGUGGGCUAUAGCCUUGAUGGGGGGCGCGGGCGAAGUUCGUCCGCCAAACUCGGAAUGGGACGAGACUUUGCGAGCGGCCUCGGGGCACCAAAAAUAAGCCGCGGGCAAAGCCGCGCCCAAAAAUAAGCGCCCGAAGGUCGUGGUGCCAAAACCCCCCAGCGGAAAAAUGGCCAAAAAACGGGUGGGCUAUAGCCUUGGUGGGGGGCGCGGGCGAAGUUCGUCCGCCGGACUCGGAAUGGGGCGAGGCUUUGCGCGGGGCCUCGGGGCGCCAAAAAUAAGCCGCGGGCAAAGCCGCACCCAAAAAUAAGCGCUCGAAGGUCGUGGUGCCAAAACCCCCCAGCGGAAAAAUGGCCAAAAAACGGGUGGGCUAUAGCCUUGGUGGGGGGCGCUGGCGAAGUUCGUCCGCCGGACUCGGAAUGGGGCGAGACUUUGCGAGGGGCCUCGGGGUGCCCGCGGGAAGUCGCGGGCACAGCCGCAUCCAAAAAUAAGCGCCCGAAGGUCGUGGUGCCAAAAUCCCCCAGCGGAAAAUGGCCAAAAAAUGGGUGGGCUAUAGCCUUGGUGGGGGGCGCGGGCGAAGUUCGUCCGCCGGACGCGAAAUGGGGCGAGACUUUGCGAGGGG